UGGGGAAUAUUGGGCAAUGGACGAAAGUCUGACCCAGCAACGCCGCGUGAAGGAAGAAGGCCUUCGGGUUGUAAACUUCUUUUACCAGGGACGAAGAAAGUGACGGUACCUGGAGAAUAAGCCACGGCUAACUACGUGCCAGCAGCCGCGGUAAUACGUAGGUGGCGAGCGUUGUCCGGAUUUACUGGGUGUAAAGGGCGCGUAGGCGGGAAUGCAAGUCAGGUGUGUAAUCUAUGGGCUUAACCCAUAAACUGCACUUGAAACUGUGUUUCUUGAGUGUCGGAGAGGCAAGCGGAAUUCCUAGUGUAGCGGUGAAAUGCGUAGAUAUUAGGAGGAACCCCAGUGGCGAAGGCGGCUUGCUGGACGACAACUGACGCUGAGGCGCGAAAGCGUGGGGAGCAAACAGG
rnacentral:rRNA from 2 species